rnacentral:tRNA from 2 species
GGGGAUGUAGCUCAGGGGUAGAGCGUCUGCUUUGCAAGCAGAAUGUCGUGGGUUCGAUUCCCUCCAUCUCCACCA